rnacentral:tRNA from 1 species
GAGGGUGUAGCUCAGUGGUAGGGUGCCUGCCUAGCAUGUGCAGGCCCUGGGUUUGAUCCCCAGCACCAUAA